rnacentral:rRNA from 1 species
UACGUAGGUGGCAAGCGUUGUCCGGAAUUAUUGGGCGUAAAGCGCGCGCAGGUGGUUUCUUAAGUCUGAUGUGAAAGCCCACGGCUCAACCGUGGAGGGUCAUUGGAAACUGGGGAACUUGAGUGCAGAAGAGGAAAGUGGAAUUCCAAGUGUAGCGGUGAAAUGCGUAGAGAUUUGGAGGAACACCAGUGGCGAAAGGCGACUUUCUGGUCUGUAACUGACACUGAGGCGCGAAAGCGUGGGGAGCGAACAGG